GUCAGUGUACCAUCACAAGCCUC
rnacentral:miRNA from 1 species